AACGAACGCUGGCGGCAGGCUUAACACAUGCAAGUCGAGCGCCCCGCAAGGGGAGCGGCAGACGGGUGAGUAACGCGUGGGAACCUACCCAUCUCUACGGAAUAACGCAUGGAAACGUGUGCUAAUACCGUAUCCGUCCUUCGGGAGACAGAUUUAUGGGGGGUGGAUGAGCCCGAGUUGGAUUAGCUAGUUGGUGGUGUAAAGGCCUACCAAGGCGACGAUCCAUAGCUGGUCUGUGAGGAUAAUCAGCCACACUGGGACUGAGACACGGCCCAGACUCCUACGGGAGGCAGCAGUGGGGAAUAUUGGACAAUGGGCGCAAGCCUGAUCCAGCCAUGCCGCGGGAGUGAUGAAGUCCCUAGGGUUGUAAAGCGCUUUCACCGGUGAAGAUAAUGACGGUAACCGGAGAAGAAGCCCCGGCUAACUUCGUGCCAGCAGCCGCCGCCGUAA
rnacentral:rRNA from 1 species